rnacentral:lncRNA from 1 species
AUCUCUUUACCAACGGAUAUUCCGUGCCUAAUAUAACCGUUUAACAUUUUGAGCUUUUAGCAACGGAUAUUCCGUUGGUAAUUAGCAACGAAUUUUUCGUUGGUAAAAAUGAUAUCUCUUUAUCAACGGAUAUUCCGUGCCUAAUAUAACCGUUUAACAUUUUGAGCUUUCAGCAACGGAUAUUCCGUUGGUAAUUAGAAACGGAUUAUCCGUCGGUAGAAAUAAUUCACUUAUCCCACAUCGAAAGUUUAUAAAAAUGUCUUUGUAGUUGUCCUCUAUAAAUUUGUGGUCCAAUA